GGGGACAACCCGCCGAAAGGCGGGCUAAACCCGCGUACAUGCCACCGGGGCAUCCCGGAGGCAGGAAAGGCUUCGGCCGGACAGGGAUGGGCAUGCGGCGCAUUAGGCAGUAGGCGGGGUAACGGCCCACCUAACCGACGAUGCGUAGGGGUUCUGAGAGGAAGGUCCCCCACACUGGUACUGAGACACGGACCAGACUCCUACGGGAGGCAGCAGUGAGGAAUAUUGGUCAAUGGUCGGGAGACUGAACCAGCCAAGCCGCGUGAGGGAGGAAGGUACAGAGUAUCGUAAACCUCUUUUGUCAGGGAACAAAGACUGGGACGCGUCCCCGGAUGAGUGUACCUGAAGAAAAAGCAUCGGCUAACUCCGUGCCAGCAGCCGCGGUAAUACGGAGGAUGCGAGCGUUAUCCGGAUUUAUUGGGUUUAAAGGGUGCGCAGGCGGUCUGUUAAGUCAGCGGUCAAAGCCCGGGGCUCAACCCCGGCCCGCCGUUGAAACUGGCAGUCUCGAGUUGGAGAGAAGUAUGCGGAAUGUGCGGUGUAGCGGUGAAAUGCAUAGAUAUCGCGCAGAACUCCGAUUGCGAAGGCAGCAUGCCGGCUCCACACUGACGCUGAGGCACGAAAGCGUGGGUAUCGAACAGGAUUAGAUACCCUGGUAGUCCACGCAGUAAACG
rnacentral:rRNA from 1 species